rnacentral:lncRNA from 1 species
CCGGGGAUGACACUUCGAAACUAAAGUUGAAAUUGACAUUGAUUAGUGACAUGACUUAGCACGGUUUUUCGCCGGGCAUGACACCUUUGAAAUUUGAAAUUGAAAUGAAAGACGCUUUACUCGUAGAAACUUGCGGCUUGACGCAAUGGUAAACUAAGACUGAACCGAAGUGACAUGACCGAAUCGAUUGAUGAGUUUAUGUAUGAAUUGAUGUCGUGCGCAUGUUGUGUACGCAUGAACGCAUGAUUAUCAGUAAAUGCAUGAUUGUUAUGAGUUUGUG